CAGAACUGACAUAGCCGCCUGUACAGCAGGCAGCGAUCACUGCGCCUUCUCACUCACAAAGGCUUGGGUUCACUGCCCCGGACAUUCAGCACUAAUGCCAAGGCUAUCAUUUCACAGCAACACUGAGGGAGUGCUGCACUGUCAGAGGGUCACUGCUGAGGGAGUGCUGCACUGUCGGAGGGUGCUGACCCUCACUAGGGGGUGGGGCCCGGUGCCCACUGCCUUCCUGUCCUGAAGGUGCUGACUGUCUCUGGUUGUGGAUAAUACCGCACCCCCCCCCAGCCUUCGCCAAUAACAGAGGGCUGGGCUACCAGAAUGCAGUUGAGGAAGAGAGAAUUUAAUCACAUCAAAUAUGUCAAAAUGAGAUCUGCCUUCAAGGAUGAACAGAAAUUACAAUCAAGCCCUCUCCUGGAUUACUUUCAAAUCAAUCAGCAAAACAGAUAUGCUUCCAGGCCUGCUGAGUUCCUCCAGAAUUCAGUAAGACAGAAUUGCUUUAAGCUGUGGUCACACUCAAUGAUGCUGGUAACAAUAUAGACAGAUCAAUUUGAAGACCAUGAAUGCUGUAAUAAAAAAAGAUAUAUAUAGAAAUAAAUAAGAUGAAUAAA